AAGUUAUUAAUAAUUAAUUUUUUAAUUUUAUAUUUAAUAUUUUAUAAAAGUAAUUUAUUUAUUUAUUGUUUAAGUAUUUAUUAAGAAUAAAUUUUUAGAUUUAUAGUUUAAUAGUAUUGUAAAAGAAUUAAUUUAAUUUAUAAAAAGAAUUUAUUUUAGUACCUUUUGUAUCAGGGUUAAUUAAAAUAUUAAAUUUAUUAUUUAAUUCUCAAAAUUUAUAGAGUUAAUUUUAUUAUUAAUUUACUGUGUUAUAAGUAUUUAUAAAAUAAUAUUAGUUUUGAAAUUUAAUUCGUUAUAAUAUAUUUAGUUGUUUAAGAUUUAAAUUUAAUUUAAAAUUUUAAAAGUUAUUAUUAAUUUUUUUAAUAUAAAUUUUAAAUUUAAAUAAUUUUAGGGAUAAGCUUGAAAUUUUAAUAUAAUAAUUUUUAUUAAAAAUAAUUUAUAGGAAUAGAAAUUUUUAUUUAAGUUUGUAAAAAUUUGUUAUUUUAAUAGUUAAAUUUAUUAAAUUGAUUUAUUUUUAAUAUUAAAUUUUAUAAAUUAAUAAUUUAUUUAUAGUAAUAAUGAUUAAAUUAGUAUAAUAUAUAUUUAUAAAUUAUGAAUUCGGCAAAUUUUAUUUUCAUCUGUUUAUCAAAAACAUUGUAUUAAGUUUUAUUUAAUAUAGGAUCUGCUCAAUGAAUUUUAAAUAGCUGCAGUAUUUUGACUGUGCAAAGGUAGCAUAAUAAUUAGUCUUUUAAUUGAGGACUUGUAUGAAUGAUUUGAUGAGAAAUAAACUUUAUUAUUUAUAAAAUUAAAAUUUUAUUUUUAAGUAAAAAAAGCUUAAAUAUUUUAAAGGGACGAUAAGACCCUAUAAAACUUUAUAAAUAAAUAUAUUUAAUUUUAUUUGAUUAUAAGUAUUUAAAUUUAAUUAUUUAUUUUAUUGGGGUGAUAAAAAAAAAUAGAACUUUUUUUAAAUAAUAACAUUAAUUAUUGGAAUUUUGAAUUAAAAUUUUUAAUUAAAGGAAAAAGUUACUUUAGGGAUAACAGCGUAAUUAAUUUUUUAAGUUCAAAUUUAAAAAUUAGUUUGCCGACCCUCGAUGUUGAAAUUAAGAUUAAGUUUAGGUUGCAAAAUUUUAAAUAUUAGGUCUUGUUCGACCUUUAAAAUUUUACAUGAUUUGAGUUCAAACCGGUGUAAGCCAGGGUUGGUUUUCUAUCUUUUUAAAUUUUAAAUUAUUUUAGUACGAAAAGGAUUAAAUAAUUAAAUUAAAUUUUUUUUAAUGAAUAAAAUUAAUUUU
rnacentral:rRNA from 1 species